rnacentral:rRNA from 1 species
UACGGGGGGGGGCAAGCGUUGUUCGGAAUUACUGGGCGUAAAGGGCUCGUAGGCGGCCAACUAAGUCGGAUGUGAAAUCCCCAGGCUUAACCUGGGAACUGCAUCCGAUACUGGAUGGCUUGAAUCCGGGAGAGGGAUGCAGAAUUCCAGGUGUAGCGGUGAAAUGCGUAGAUAUCUGGAGGAAUACCGGUGGCGAAGGCGGCAUCCUGGACCGGCAUUGACGCUGAGGCACGAAAGCCAGGGGAGCGAACGGG